rnacentral:rRNA from 1 species
AUGGCGCCGCGCCCCGGAACGGCGGCGAUGAGCAGAUUCCCGCCGGUGUCGUCCUACGACGCGGCAGCGCGGGAGCGCCGCACCGCGGCCUCCGACCUGGACGGCACCCUGCUCGCCUCCUCCUCCGCGUUCCCCUACUACUUCCUCGUGGCGCUCGAGGCCGGCGGGUACCUCCGGGCCCUCGCGCUGCUCCUCCUCGCCCCGUUCAUCCUGCUGCUCUACACCGCCGUCUCCGAGCCGGCCGCCAUCGGGCUGCUCGUCUUCGCAACGUUCACGGGGCUCCGGGUGCGGGACGUGGAGGCCGUGGCGAGGGGCGUCCUCCCGCGGCACUACGCCGCCGGGGUGCGCGCCGACUCGUGGGAGGUGUUCCGGGGGUGCGGCGCGGGCAGGCGGGUCGUGGUCACGGCGUCGCCGGCUGUCAUGGUGAGCCCGUUCGUCCGCGAGUUCCUGGGGGCCGAGGUGGCUGGCACCGAGCUCGGGAUCUUCUGCGGGCGAUUCACCGGGCUCAUCAGCGGCGGGGUGCUCGUCGCCGGGAGGAAGAGGGAGGUCGUGGAGCGGCUGUUUGCCGGCGGGGACAUGCCGGACGUCGGGCUCGGCGACCGCGAGAGCGACCAUGACUUCAUGGCCAUCUGCAAGGAAGCGUACAUGGUGCCCACGAACAAGCGCGCACCGCGGGCCGCCCCCGACGCUCUGCUGUCCCGCGUCGUGUUCCACGACGGCCGCCUUGUCCGCCGGCCAGACCCCGCGCACGCGCUCUUCGCGCUGGCCUACCUCCCCGUUGGCUUCGCCCUGGCCGUGCUCCGCGUCCUCAUCAGCCUCUCUGUCCUGCGGCACCUCGUGCGCCACACGUACCGCCUGACCGGCAUCCGGCUCGCCGUGCGGGGCACGGCCCCGCCGGCGCCGCGCGACGGCUCCCCGGGGUCCCUCCUCGUGUGCAAUCACCGCACGGCGCUGGACCCCAUCAUCGUGGCCGUGGCGCUGGGGCGGCCUGUGACGUGCGUGACCUACAGCGCGAGCCGGCUGUCGAUGGCCAUCUCGCCGAUCCCGGCGGUGGCGCUGGCGAGGGACAGGGAGGCCGACGCGGCGCGCAUCGCGGCGCUGCUGAGCUCCGGGCGCGAUGUGGUAGUGUGCCCCGAGGGGACGACGUGCCGGGAGCCGUGCCUGCUACGGUUCUUGGCGCUGUUCGCGGAGCUGACGGACCGGAUAGUGCCGGUGGCGCUGGAGGCGUCACAGUCGACCUACUACGGGUCGACGGCGAGGGGGUGGAAGGCCUUGGACCCGUGGUUCUUCUACAUGAACCCGCGGCCGGGGUACAAGGUGACGUUCCUGCCGGCGCUCCGGCCGGAGGAGACGUGUGGCGCUGGCGGUAGGAGCGCCGUCGAUGUGGCCAACCAUGUGCAGGCGGUGCUCGCCAAGGAGCUCGGGUACCGGUGCACGACGCUCACCAGAAAGGACAAGUACAUGAAACUCGCCGGAAACGACGGCACAGUAGCAACCGCCGGCGACGAUGUUUACAAAGCUAACUGA